UAUAUAUAUAAUUAUGUUAUUUUAUUUUAUUUAUUUAUUUAUUUUUUUGUGUGUUUUUGAUUAUCAAAUAAUACCACCUUGGUACAGCCGAAUGUCAGCCGUACCAAACGAUACAUGACAUCAAUGUUUACUGCAGUUAAAUCAGUCAUGUCUAUGUCAUUUGUGUCAAAAUCUGUUUUUGUUAAGAGAGAAUUAGUACAUUUGGUUUAAAAGUACUUUAAGUAUGACACUAUAAAGAGAGAGAGAGUGAGAAAUGGUGAAGAGAAUGAGUAAGUGUGUGUGUGUGUGUGUGUGAGUUUGAUGGACUCUAGCAGUCAGAGACAUGUUCUGGAUGAGACAACUGAGAUUAGUGGAACAGAUUGUUUACUUUAACAAGCAUACUUUGCAUAUAUGUGUGUGUGGAUGGAAAUGUGUGUGCUUGCUCUAAUUCUGUCUAAUUGCAUGAUAUGGUAAAAUGCCACAGAUUCCCACAGAAGCAGAGAUGUAGUUGUUAUAUUUUGUCAAUGGAAGAAGUUACAGUAGUUAUUAAAGACUUUAAGGUGACAUAUACAGUACUAUGAGGUCCUGAAUAAAGAUGAACCUGUAGAGUGAACCAGAUGCUGGAUGACACCAUUAUUGUGUGAUGUGAUUUAAGGGCUCGUAUCAUGUUCCUAGUGACAUUACAAGCCUAAAAUACACUUCAAAAUGACAAAACUCUGUUGCACGGAAGAAUAAUAAUAAAGGAAUGCAGGUUUUGAUGGGGAGUAAAUAAUGUCACAAUUUUCAUUUUUGGGUGAACAAUCACUUUAAUUCUUAGGUUAUUCUGAGAGAAGGUGAAAAACUGCAAUCUAAAUUAUGACUGUGGCCAGUGUUAUUGUAUUAACUCACUAAAACUAUUAUCAUUUUCGCUAAUUGAAAUAAAGCUGAAAUAAAUAAACAAUAUUACAUGAAAAACUUGGAAACUAAUUUGACCAAAGUACUAAACUUAUUAAAACUAAACGCAAAUGAAUUAAAGCUAUAUAGAAAUAUAAGAAUGAAUAAAAAUAACAAGCAUGAAACAAAAUUACUAAACUUAAAUGAAAACUAAAAAUAUAAACAAAU
ensembl:lncRNA